rnacentral:rRNA from 1 species
UACGGAGGGGGCAAGCGUUGUUCGGAGUUACUGGGCGUAAAGCGCGCGUAGGCGGUGCGGUAAGUCAGGGGUUAAAGGCUGCAGCUCAACUGCAGUAAGGCCUUUGAUACUAUCGUGCUAGAGUGUCAGAGAGGAUGGCGGAAUUCCCGGUGUAGCGGUGAAAUGCGUAGAUAUCGGGAGGAAUACCAGUGGCGAAGGCGGCCAUCUGGCUGAUAACUGACGCUGAGGUGCGAGAGCGUGGGGAGCAAACAGG